GAUUACAUGGGCCAAAAGCAGUACUAUUCAGAGGCAUCUUGGGGGCCAAAAGUGUAUCUCUUGACUUGCUGUUGCUGGUCUUCCUCUGUAUCUCAGUCCUCAUCUCCACCACCGACAGAGUGCUCCCUUCCUCUCAUCUCAGUCCUCCUCUUCUCCAUUGCGCUCCCUGGAAUAAGAUCGAUCCGCCUUGUUGUUUGGUGAGCUCAUCCAAUCUCCGCCCCUGACACCUGUGGAGCAUCCACAGAGUGGAACAGCUAGCAAGAACCACUGAGUUUCCGGUCAUUAUUCAGAGCACCACACAUCGAAUCCACUGACCUGAUUGAGUGAAGCGACCUCCACGAAGCGCCGUCUAGUCCCCUCACGGAUCUGGCCUCUGGUGCCCAGCCGCCGCUUUCGCUUCGUUGUCCGACGAGGCCACCGCCGCUGUGUUCUGCUCUGCCGUGAAGCAUCAAAAGUGACCAUCGGACGAUGACGCCGCCGCUGUGUUCUGCUCUGCCGUGAAGCAUCAAAGUGAUCUCGCAGUUUGGAUUGGCAACUCAGUUCUAGAGGAGCUCGUUGAAAUUAAAGCGCCGCCGCUUCCGCUUCGUUGUCACCAUCCGCUGCUGUGUUCUGCUCUACUCUGAAACACCAAAGGUUUCCAGCUGAUUGAUCCAGCGAGCUCUCAUGGAUAUUGUCACGGGUGCCAUUGCCAAGCUGAUCCCCAAGCUGGCCGACCUACUUGUGGGGGAGUACAAGCUGCACAAGAACGUCAAGAAAAAUAUCAAGGACCUCCUGAAGGAGCUUGAGAGCAUGAACGUUGCCCUCGUCAAGAUUGGUGAGGUGCCGCGGGACCAGCUCGACAAACAAGACAAGCUCUGUGCGUGAAACUUGAUUUGCAUAACACAUUGGUCGAGCGAUGUAUAUAUAGUAGAGAUUACGAGUAGGUAGCAGCUUCAUUUUCCAUCCAUGGUACGUUCUAGUAGCAAGGUACACGUGCCACACGACUUGCAUGCAGAGCUUCUUCGUCGACACAUCCAUUAAGUUUAGGUCAAGCAAGCAACCUACAGGUAGCUGGCGAAUUGAUAUAUAUGGUCUUGAAUGCUUACUUCUAUGUACGCGAUAAGAGAUAAUAUUUUCAGGUAUUCUAAAAUCAUAAUCUAUUAAUAUUAAGGAUAAU